rnacentral:rRNA from 1 species
AAGAGUUUGAUCCUGGCUCAGGAUUAACGCUGGCGGCGCGCCUAAUACAUGCAAGUCGAACGGAAACCUUCGGGUUUUAGUGGCGAACGGGUGAGUAACACGUAAGCAACCUGCCUUUAAGACGUGGAUAACAAUUGGAAACAGUUGCUAAGACAGGAUAGGAAAUUAAGAGGCAUCUUUUAAUUUUUAAAAGACCUUUUUCGAAAGGUAUACUUAAAGAGGGGCUUGCGCCACAUUAGUUAGUUGGUAAGGUAAAGGCUUACCAAGACGAUGAUGUGUAGCUGGACUGAGAGGUCGAACAGCCACAUUGGGACUGAGACACGGCCCAAACUCCUACGGGAGGCAGCAGUAAGGAAUUUUUGGCAAUGGAGGAAACUCUGACCGAGCGACGUCGCGUGAACAAUGAAGUACUUCGGUAUGUAAAGUUCUUUUAUUGAAAAAGAAAAAAUAGUGGAAAAACUAUCUUGACAUUAUUCAAUGAAUAAGCCCCGGCUAAUUAUGUGCCAGCAGCCGCGGUAAUACAUAAGGGGCGAGCGUUAUCCGGAAUUAUUGGGCGUAAAGGGUGCGUAGGCGGUUUGAUAAGUCUAUAGUUUAAAUGCAGUGCUUAACGCUGUAGCGCUAUAGAAACUGUCUGACUAGAGUUAGAUAGAGGCAAGCGGAAUUCCAUGUGUAGCGGUAAAAUGCGUAAAUAUAUGGAGGAACACCAGAGGCGUAGGCGGCUUGCUGGGUCUUAACUGACGCUGAGGCACGAAAGCGUGGGGAGCAAACAGGAUUAGAUACCCUGGUAGUCCACGCCGUAAACGAUGAGUACUAAGUGUCGGGUUUCGGCUCGGUACUGAAGUUAACACAUUAAGUACUCCGCCUGAGUAGUACGUACGCAAGUAUGAAACUUAAAGGAAUUGACGGGACCCCGCACAAGCGGUGGAUCAUGUUGUUUAAUUCGAAGAUACACGAAAAACCUUACCAGGUCUUGACAUAAUUUUGCGACAUUAUAGAAAUAUAAUGAAGGUUAUCAGAAUUACAGGUGGUGCAUGGUUGUCGUCAGCUCGUGUCGUGAGAUGUUAGGUUAAGUCCUAAAACGAGCGCAACCCUUGUCGUUAGUUGCGACCACGUAAUGGUGAGCACUUUAGCGAGACUGCCAAUGAAAAAUUGGAGGAAGGUGAGGAUUACGUCAAAUCAUCAUGCCCCUUAUGAUCUGGGCUACAAACGUGAUACAAUGGCUGUUACAAAGAGUAGCUACAACGUGAGUUUUUAGCCAAUCUCAAAAAAACAGUCUCAGUUCGGAUUGAAGUCUGCAACUCGACUUCAUGAAGUUGGAAUCGCUAGUAAUCGCGAAUCAGCAUGUCGCGGUGAAUACGUUCUCGGGGUUUGUACACACCGCCCGUCAAACCACGAAAGUUGAUAAUACCCGAAAGCGGUCGCCUAACUUCGUCAGAAGAGGGAGCCGUCUAAGGUAGGAUCGAUGAUUGGGGUUAAGUCGUAACAAGGUAUCCCUACCGGAAGGUGGGGAUGGAUCACCUCCUUUCUAAGGAAACAUAGAAUCAUCAUCUUCAGUUUUGAAAGACUUAGUUAGGUUUUUCUAAUUUGAAAAACUUAGUUAAGUUUUUCUCAUUUCUUUUAUUUUUUGGUAUCCUGGGCCUAUAGCUCAGCUGGUUAGAGCACACGCCUGA